AUCUUCCAUGGGUAUUAUCGUUAUACUAAAUAAAUGGAACCCGUCAUUUCUUUUCGGCAGCGUUUUGGAAUUUGAAAAGGCUUGCGCUGUGGACAUGUGCUCAUGUUGGUAAUAUAAGGGGCUUUACGUUUCACUGGUUUCGGGGAAGGUUUCUGUUUGUUUGCACCGCCGCUACAAGGACUACAACAACAAGCUUGACCCCUUUCGCACCAUCCCAUACAGUGACCCUGGCCAGAUGGCCGGACGUUGCCUCGCACAAGUUGUUGUGGUCAGCAGAAAUGUAGUUAGAUAAUCGUAUUCAUUGUCUUGGCCAAUCAGGCGUAAUUGUCUUACAAUUAGCAAUAUUUAAUCCCUCCCAGAUAUUCCAAACAUGGACAGAGCUGGCAAAACAUGUUAAUAAGGAUGUGUCCUCGUAUAAAUAUCACCGCGACCUACUUGCCGACUCAUUACGCACGGAAAAAAAACCCCACGUCCAUCGGCGGCGUGACCCCACGACCAGGCCGCGGGACGUGGAGCGCGGGUAGCCCGGCCAAUCUGGAGCAGCGCACGGUCGUAGAAUGCAGGCAGCCCCGGCCAACAGCGCGCGGACGUGGAAAGCGGGUGUCCCGCGACCCGGUCAACCCUCGCCGGAGCAGCGCGCACACCCGGAAGGCCCCCGGAUUUUAGUCGUGCAGGCACGGAGCUCUACAUGACGACAAACACAAAAGUUACUCAAGAAUACAAGACAGAAGAAGUGGAACAAAAUACCAGGUAAAUUUCGCCAUGUCUCACCCUGAGAUGCAGACUGCAGCAGGGAUUCACUGGCAAGCACGAAGCCCAGUCAAGGAAGGAUCGGGGUGUGCAUUCAUGUUUUGCACGCAAGAAGAUUGAAAAACAAGCAUUGAAUGCAGCAGCAUCGUGAAAGCAAAG